rnacentral:rRNA from 1 species
GGGUCAGUAGGUUGGUCGUGCCACCGGUACGUACUGGUCUCACUGAUUCCUCCUUCCUGAAGAACCGUAAUGCCAUUAAUUUGGUGUUGCGGGGAAACAGGACUGUUACUUUGAACAAAUUAGAGUGUUUAAAGCAAGCUAACGCUUGAAUACAUUAGCAUGGAAUAAAGAAAUAGGACGAUCGAUCCUAUUUUGUUGGUUUCUAGGAUUGACGUA